ACAGGCAGAAGCCGUACUGUCAGGAGCGGUGGACAGUACACAAGAGAGAAUGCCGGUAUGAGUAGCGAGAGUGAGGUGAGAAUCCUCACCGUCGAAAGCCAAAGGUUUCCUGAGGAAGGUUCGUCCUCUCAGGGUAAGUCGGGGACUAAGCCGAGGGCGGUAGAGCCGUAGGCGAUGACCAGCAGGUAGAGAUUCCUGCACCACCAGUGUAUCGUUUGAGGAAGCAGUGACACAGAAGGAUAGUCAGAGCGCGUUGAUGGUAGAGCGCGUCCAAGCAGUGAGGCUGAUACGCAGUAAAGUACACGUAUCGAAAGGCUGGGCUGUGACGGGGUGUUAAAUGAUAUGAAGCUGAUGAAUUCACGCUGGCGAGAAAAGCUGCUAACGAGAUAUACGGUGCCCGUACCGCAAACCGACACAGGUAGGCGAGGAGAGAAUCCUAAGACGAGCGAGAGAACCAUUGUUAAGGAACUCGGCAAAAUUACCUCGUAACUUCGGGAGAAGGGGUGCCUAUAGAGAUAUAGGUCGCAGAGAAUAGGCCCAAGCGACUGUUUAACAAAAACACAGGUCUGUGCUAAAUCGAGAGAUGAAGUAUACGGGCUGACGCCUGCCCGGUGCUGGAAGGUUAAGGGAAUGAGUCAGGAGCAAUCCGAAGCUUUGAACUGAAGCCCCAGUAAACGGCGGCCGUAACAAUAACGGUCCUAAGGUAGCGAAAUUCCUUGUCGGGUAAGUUCCGACCUGCACGAAUGGCGUAACGAUUUGGGCGCUGUCUCAACAGUGGACUCGGCGAAAUUGUAGUAUGCGUGAAGAUGCGCAUUACCCGCGACUGGACGGAAAGACCCCGUAGUGCUUUACUGUAGCCUGAUAUUGGAUUUUGGUAAUGAAUGUACAGGAUAGGUGGGAGACUGAGAGACAAGGACGUCAGUUUUUGUGGAGUCGAUGUUGGGAUACCACUCUUUCAUUACUGAAAUUCUAACCUGUAGCCGUAAACCGGUAUGGGGACAGUGUCAGGUGGGCAGUUUGACUGGGGCGGUCGCCUCCGAAAGAGUAACGGAGGCGCCCAAAGGUUCCCUCAGAAUGGUUGGGAAUCAUUCAAAGAGUGUAAAGGCAAAAGGGAGCUUGACUGCGAGACUGACAGGUCGAGCAGGUACGAAAGUAGGGCUUAGUGAUCCGGUGGUAGAGAGUGGAAUUGCCAUCGCUUAACGGAUAAAAGUUACCUCGGGGAUAACAGGCUGAUCUCCCCCAAGAGUUCACAUCGACGGGGAGGUUUGGCACCUCGAUGUCGGCUCGUCGCAUCCUGGGGCUGGAGCAGGUCCCAAGGGUUUGGCUGUCCGCCAAUUAAAGCGGCACGCGAGCUGGGUUCAGAACGUCGUGAGACAGUUCGGUCCCUAUCCAUCGUGGGCGCAGGAUAUUUGAGAGGAGCUGUUCUUAGUACGAGAGGACCGGAAUGGACGUACCUCUGGUGCAUCAGUUGUCAUGCCAAUGGCACAGCUGGGUAGCGAAGUACGGAUCGGAUAAACGCUGAAGGCAUCUAAGCGUGAAACCGACCUCAAGAAGAGAUAUCCCAUUGCGAAAGCAAGUAAGUCCCCUGGUAGACUACCAGGUAGAUAGGUCGGAGGUGUAAGUGCAGUAAUGCAUUGAGCUGACCGAUACUAAUAGGACGAGGGCUUGGU
rnacentral:rRNA from 1 species